rnacentral:lncRNA from 1 species
UUUCUUCAAGCCUCAGCCCCUUCUAAAUCAUUCAAGCUUCUAUCUUCCAACUUCAAGCUUUUCUAACCAACACUCAUUUAUUGACAUAAAUUAAAUGCAUGUACCAAACAUAGCAAAUCAGAAUUUGGGGUUAAGGAUUAUGAUUUUGGUCAUAGCAAGAAAAAGGAAGAAUAGAGUAGCUUACUAUUUCUCACCUUGAGUUUCCACCAUCCAUACCCUAUUGAUUGUGAAAAUCAACACAUGCAGCUAAGAAUUAAAAGUGGAAAUGGAAGCUCGGAGUGAGAGAGAUUCUGGCGUGAGAACAAGAGAGAGUUUGAGGGAAGUUUGUUGCUUUUCCUACUUUGUGAAGUUUAAGAAGAUGAAUGGGUUGUUGUUGUUGUCUUGCGUGUGAGAGAAAGAAGAGAUUUGCUGAGUAGUUGUCCUAACCUUGUGAAAGAGGGAAGUGUAUGAGUGGGUUUGGAUCUUGACUUCUGGUUUAAUGAGCGUGAGAGAGAGAGGGAGAUACAAGAAAGGUCAUUUUCUUUACUAAAA